rnacentral:rRNA from 1 species
AUUGAACGCUGGCGGCAUGCCUUACACAUGCAAGUCGAACGGAAAGGCCCCAGCUUGCUGGGGUACUCGAGUGGCGAACGGGUGAGUAACACGUGGGUGAUCUGCCCUGCACUUUGGGAUAAGCUUGGGAAACUGGGUCUAAUACCGAAUAUGACCACUUCUUGGAUGUUGUGGUGGAAAGCUUUUGCGGUGUGGGAUGAGCCUGCGGCCUAUCAGCUUGUUGGUGGGGUAAUGGCCUACCAAGGCGGCGACGGGUAUCCGGCCUGAGAGGGUGGUCGGAAACAUUGGGACUAAGAUACGGCCCAGGCUACUACGAGAGAGAACAGUAGAGAAUAUUGAACAAUGGGCGCAAGCCUGAUGCAGCGACGCCGCGUGGGGGAUGAAGGCCUUCGGGUUGUAAACUCCUUUCGCUAUCGACGAAGCCACUUGUGGUGGCGGUAGGUAGAUAAGAAGCACCGGCUAACUACGUGCCAGCAGCCGCAGUAA